GAUGAACGCUGGCGGCGUGCCUAAUACAUGCAAGUCGAGCGAACGGACGAGAAGCUUGCUUCUCUGAUGUUAGCGGCGGACGGGUGAGUAACACGUGGAUAACCUACCUAUAAGACUGGGAUAACUUCGGGAAACCGGAGCUAAUACCGGAUAAUAUUUUGAACCGCAUGGUUCAAAAGUGAAAGACGGUCUUGCUGUCACUUAUAGAUGGAUCCGCGCUGCAUUAGCUAGUUGGUAAGGUAACGGCUUACCAAGGCAACGAUGCAUAGCCGACCUGAGAGGGUGAUCGGCCACACUGGAACUGAGACACGGUCCAGACUCCUACGGGAGGCAGCAGUAGGGAAUCUUCCGCAAUGGGCGAAAGCCUGACGGAGCAACGCCGCGUGAGUGAUGAAGGUCUUCGGAUCGUAAAACUCUGUUAUUAGGGAAGAACAUAUGUGUAAGUAACUGUGCACAUCUUGACGGUACCUAAUCAGAAAGCCACGGCUAACUACGUGCCAGCAGCCGCGGUAAUACGUAGGUGGCAAGCGUUAUCCGGAAUUAUUGGGCGUAAAGCGCGCGUAGGCGGUUUUUUAAGUCUGAUGUGAAAGCCCACGGCUCAACCGUGGAGGGUCAUUGGNAACUGGAAAACUUGAGUGCAGAAGAGGAAAGUGGAAUUCCAUGUGUAGCGGUGAAAUGCGCAGAGAUAUGGAGGAACACCAGUGGCGAAGGCGGCUUUCUGGUCUGUAACUGACGCUGAUGUGCGAAAGCGUGGGGAUCAAACAGGAUUAGAUACCCUGGUAGUCCACGCCGUAAACGAUGAGUGCUAAGUGUUAGGGGGUUUCCGCCCCUUAGUGCUGCAGCUAACGCAUUAAGCACUCCGCCUGGGGAGUACGACCGCAAGGUUGAAACUCAAAGGAAUUGACGGGGACCCGCACAAGCGGUGGAGCAUGUGGUUUAAUUCGAAGCAACGCGAAGAACCUUACCAAAUCUUGACAUCCCUUGACAACUCUAGAGAUAGAGCCUUCCCCUUCGGGGGACAAAGUGACAGGUGGUGCAUGGUUGUCGUCAGCUCGUGUCGUGAGAUGUUGGGUUAAGUCCCGCAACGAGCGCAACCCUUAAGCUUAGUUGCCAUCAUUAAGUUGGGCACUCUAAGUUGACUGCCGGUGACAAACCGGAGGAAGGUGGGGAUGACGUCAAAUCAUCAUGCCCCUUAUGAUUUGGGCUACACACGUGCUACAAUGGACAAUACAAAGGGUAGCGAAACCGCGAGGUCCAGCAAAUCCCAUAAAGUUGUUCUCAGUUCGGAUUGUAGUCUGCAACUCGACUACAUGAAGCUGGAAUCGCUAGUAAUCGUAGAUCAGCAUGCUACGGUGAAUACGUUCCCGGGUCUUGUACACACCGCCCGUCACACCACGAGAGUUUGUAACACCCGAAGCCGGUGGAGUAACCUUUUAGGAGCUAGCCGUCGAAGGUGGGACAAAUGAUUUGGGGUGAAGUCGUAACAAGGUAGCCGUAUCGGAAGG
rnacentral:rRNA from 1 species